AUUGAACGCUGGCGGCAUGCCUUACACAUGCAAGUCGAACGGCAGCACGGGAGCAAUCCUGGUGGCGAGUGGCGAACGGGUGAGUAAUAUGUCGGAACGUGCCCAGUCGUGGGGGAUAACGCAGCGAAAGCUGUGCUAAUACCGCAUACGAUCUACGGAUGAAAGCGGGGGAUCGCAAGACCUCGCGCGAUUGGAGCGGCCGAUAUCAGAUUAGCUAGUUGGUGAGGUAAAGGCUCACCAAGGCGACGAUCUGUAGCUGGUCUGAGAGGACGACCAGCCACACUGGAACUGUGACACGGUCCAGACUCCUACGGGAGGCAGCAGUGGGGAAUUUUGGACAAUGGGCGAAAGCCUGAUCCAGCAAUGCCGCGUGCAGGAUGAAGGCCUUCGGGUUGUAAACUGCUUUUGUACGGAACGAAACGGUGAGCUCUAAUACAGUUUGCUAAUGACGGUACCGUAAGAAUAAGCACCGGCUAACUACGUGCCAGCCGCCGCGGUAA
rnacentral:rRNA from 1 species